rnacentral:rRNA from 1 species
UGGGGAAUCUUCCGCAAUGGGCGCAAGCCUGACGUAGCAACGCCGCGUGAGUGAAGAAGGUCUUCGGAUCGUAAAGCUCUGUUGAUGGGGACGAACGUGCCUAAUGCGAAUAGUAUUAGGUAAUGACGGUACCCAUCGAGGAAGCCACGGCUAACUACGUGCCAGCAGCCGCGGUAAUACGUAGGUGGCGAGCGUUGUCCGGAAUCAUUGGGCGUAAAGGGAGCGCAGGCGGGCAUGUAAGUCUUUCUUAAAAGUGCGGGGCUCAACCCCGUGAUGGGAAAGAAACUAUGUGUCUUGAGUACAGGAGAGGAAAGCGGAAUUCCCAGUGUAGCGGUGAAAUGCGUAGAUAUUGGGAGGAACACCAGUGGCGAAGGCGGCUUUCUGGACUGCAACUGACGCUGAGGCUCGAAAGCCAGGGGAGCGAACGGG